AGAUUGAACGCUGGCGGCAGGCCUAACACAUGCAAGUCGAACGGUAACAGGAAGCAGCUUGCUGCUUUGCUGACGAGUGGCGGACGGGUGAGUAAUGUCUGGGAAACUGCCUGAUGGAGGGGGAUAACUACUGGAAACGGUAGCUAAUACCGCAUAACGUCGCAAGACCAAAGAGGGGGACCUUCGGGCCUCUUGCCAUCGGAUGUGCCCAGAUGGGAUUAGC
rnacentral:rRNA from 1 species